rnacentral:rRNA from 1 species
UACGUAGGGGGCAAGCGUUGUCCGGAAUCAUUGGGCGUAAAGAGCGUGUAGGCGGCUCGAUAAGUCUGCUGUGAAAGUCCAGGGCUCAACCCUGGAAAGCCGGUGGAAACUGUCGGGCUAGAGUCCGGAAGAGGCGAGUGGAAUUCCUGGUGUAGCGGUGAAAUGCGCAGAUAUCAGGAGGAACACCAAUGGCGAAGGCAGCUCGCUGGGACGGUACUGACGCUGAGACGCGAAAGCGUGGGGAGCAAACAGG